rnacentral:rRNA from 1 species
UACGGGGGGGGCAAGCGUUGUUCGGAAUUACUGGGCGUAAAGGGUUCGUAGGUGGCUUGCUAAGUCAGACGUGAAAUCCCUCAGCUUAACUGGGGAACUGCGUCUGAGACUGGUGAGCUUGAGUGCAGGAGAGGAACGCGGAAUUCCAGGUGUAGCGGUGAAAUGCGUAGAUAUCUGGGGGAACACCGGUGGCGAAGGCGGCGUUCUGGACUGCUACUGACACUGAGGAACGAAAGCCAGGGGAGCAAACGGG